GGGGAUAAUAGCUCAGUGGUAGAGCACAUGCUUAGCAUGCAUGAGGUCCUGGGUUCAAUUCCCAGUACCUCCA
rnacentral:tRNA from 1 species